rnacentral:rRNA from 1 species
AUUGAACGCUGGCGGCAGGCUUAACACAUGCAAGUCGAGCGGAGAUGAGGUGCUUGCACCUUAUCUUAGCGGCGGACGGGUGAGUAAUGCUUAGGAAUCUGCCUAUUAGUGGGGGACAACAUUCCGAAAGGAAUGCUAAUACCGCAUACGUCCUACGGGAGAAAGCAGGGGAUCUUCGGACCUUGCGCUAAUAUAUGAGCCUAAGUCGGAUUAGCUAGUUGGUGGGGUAAAGGCCUACCAAGGCGACGCUCUGUAGCGGGUCUGAGAGGGUGAUGGCCCACACUGGGAUGGGGACACGGCCCAGACUCCUACGGGAGGCAGCAGGGGGGUAUAUUGGACAAUGGGGGGAACCCUGAGCCAGCCAUGCCGCGUGUGUGAAGAAGGCCUUAUGGUUGUAAAGCACUUUAAGCGAGGAGGAGGCUACUGAGACUAAUACUCUUGGAUAGUGGACGUUACUCGCAGAAUAAGCACCGGCUAACUCUGUGCCAGCCGCCGCGGUAAAAC